rnacentral:rRNA from 1 species
CAGUCGCCGCGGUAAUACGGAGGGUGCAAGCGUUAUCCGGAUUUAUUGGGUUUAAAGGGUCCGUAGGCGGAUCUGUAAGUCAGUGGUGAAAUCUCACAGCUUAACUGUGAAACUGCCAUUGAUACUGCAGGUCUUGAGUAAAUUUGAAGUGGCUGGAAUAAGUAGUGUAGCGGUGAAAUGCAUAGAUAUUACUUAGAACACCAAUUGCGAAGGCAGGUCACUAAGAUUUAACUGACGCUUAUGGACGAAAGCGUGGGGAGCGAACAGGAUUAGAUACCCCAGUAGUCCCUGUCUCUUAUAC